rnacentral:rRNA from 1 species
UCGACUAAGCCAUGCAAGUCGAGAGGUGCAAGACCUCGGCGAACUGCUCAGUAACACGUGGACAAUCUGCCCUGGAGAAGGGAAUAAUCCCGGGAAACUGGGGGUAAUACCCUAUAGUCCGGAUGUACUGGAAUGUUAUCCGGAUGAAAGAUCCGUCGCUUCAGGAUGAGUCUGCGGCCGAUUAGGUAGUUGUUGGGGUUACGGCCCACCAAGCCUAUAAUCGGUACGGGUUGUGGGAGCAAGAGCCCGGAGAUGGAUUCUGAGACACGAAUCCAGGCCCUACGGGGCGCAGCAGGCGCGAAAACUUUACAAUGCGGGCAACCGUGAUAAGGAAACCCCGAGUGCCAGCAUAGGUUGGCUGUCCGCCAGUGUAAAAAACUGGUGAAGAAAGGGCCGGGCAAGACCGGUGCCAGCCGCCGCGGUAAUACCGGCGGCUCGAGUGGUGGCCGCUAUUACUGGGCUUAAAGGGUCCGUAGCUUGAGGAUUGGGUCCCUUGAGAAAUCCACCGGCUUAACUGGUGGGCGUUCAGGGGAAACUGGUCUUCUAGGGACCGGGGGAGGUGAGAGGUACUGCCGGGGUAGGAGUGAAAUCCUGUAAUCCCGGUGGGACCACCUAUGGCGAAGGCAUCUCACCAGAACGGCUCCGACAGUGAGGGACGAAAGCUGGGGGAGCAAACCGGAUUAGAUACCCGGGUAGUCCCAGCUGUAAACGAUGCGCGUUAGGUGUGUCAGUGACCACGCGUCACUGAGGUGCCGAAGGGAAACCGUGAAACGCGCCGCCUGGGGAGUACGGUCGCAAGGCUGAAACUUAAAGGAAUUGGCGGGGGAGCA